UUCCCGAAUUUAGAAGAGCUAUUAAUUUUAUUGUAAUAAAUAUUUUUAAUUUGAAAUGAAACGUUAAUAUAUCUGGUUUUUUAAGAAAAUUCAAUUUUAUUAUUUUUCUGGGGUUUAGCUUGGAUUAGGAUUAGGAGUUUUGUUAUAUUUGAAUUAUUAGGAUAAAUUGAUUAAUAAAUUUUGUAAUUAUGAUUUAAUUAGUAUAAGGUUAAAAAAAGGAAUUCGGCAAAAAUUUUUUACCUGUUUAAUAAAAACAUGUCCUUUUGAAAAUAAUUUAAGGUCUAACCUGCUCUAUGAGGCCGCGGUAUUUUGACCGUGCAAAGGUAGCAUAAUAAUUAGUUUUUUAAUUGAAAGCUGGUAUGAAUGGUUGAAUAAAAAAAUAACUGUCUCUUUUUAAUAGAAUUUUAUUUUUAAGUAAGAAAGCUUAAAUUUUAUUAAAAGACGAGAAGACCCUAUAGAGUUUUAUUUUGGUUGGGGUGACUGAAAAAUUUAUUAAACUUUUGAUUAUAAGAAGAAAUUACCUUAGGGAUAACAGCGUAAUCUUUUUUAGAGUUCUAAUCGAAAAGGGGGUUUGCGACCUCGAUGUUGGAUUAAAAUAAAUUUUGGUGUAGGAGCU
rnacentral:rRNA from 1 species